GAUGAACGCUAGCGGCAGGCCUAACACAUGCAAGUCGAGGGGUAUUAGGAGCUUGCUCCUAAGAGACCGGCGCACGGGUGCGUAACGCGUAUGCAAUCUACCUUGUACAGGGGAAUAGCCCAGAGAAAUUUGGAUUAAUGCCCCAUAGUAUAAUUGAAUCGCAUGGUUUAAUUAUUAAAAGUUCCAACGGUACAAGAUGAGCAUGCGUCCCAUUAGGUAGUUGGUGAGGUAAUGGCUCACCAAGCCUACGAUCUAUAAGGCUGGUCUUAAGAGGAAUGAAUCAGCCAGACUGGGACUGAG
rnacentral:rRNA from 1 species